UUAUUGCGUCCCCAGUGGUUCUUUUACAUCCCUUCGGUUCAGGCCAUGGCGCUAGCAGCAGCUAAUCUAUCGAAAACGUACACGACACCCACCUAGAUUAUUCUACCGGACGUGACGUCACAAGCACACUAGCCAUCACGUCUCAGAACCCGGAUGUAGUUCUUUCCACUGCUCUUAACACCAUGACAACUUGCGCCAUGGCGACAAACAAGCGCCACCCCAGACCUCCACCAAACCACAUCCUAAUAUCAGCCACUUUCAGCCAUCUUGAUACCUUUGAAUCCCCAUGGAAGGGGGGGAAGAAAGGGCGCCACAAUACCCUUGUGGUUAAAACACGGGUGGGCUAGUGUUAUGGGCUAGUGUGUUAGCAGUUAGAGCGUUAGCCUUUCACCAGGUUCGAAUUCCAAUUCUGUAACUAAACCUUUUAAAAGUUUAUGUAUUGAAUCAAAUUUGGUGUUAUGAGUUGGAGAUAUUCUCCUCUGAAGUCUCCUUGGGUAAGGGCACUAAACCAGAGGUCCUGUCUCUGCAAGCUGCACUACUACACUAAACUGAAUUGAAGGAAUGUGAAAGAACCAAUGGGAAAGCAAUAAACCCUCUGGCAAUGACAA